AGAGUUUGAUCCUGGCUCAGGAUGAACGCUGGCGGCGUGCCUAACACAUGCAAGUCGAGCGUGAUUGUUAUGAGUGGAGACUUCGGUCAAAGCGAKUAACAUGAAAGCGGCGGACGGGUGAGUAACGCGUGGGCAACCUGCCCCAUACACGAGGAUAGCCACUGGAAACGGUGAUUAAUACUCGAUAAGACCACACUGCCACAUGGUAGAGCGGCCAAAGAUUUAUCGGUAUGGGAUGGGCCCGCGUCUGAUUAGCUAGUUGGUGAGGUAACGGCUCACCAAGGCGACGAUCAGUAACCGACCUGAGAGGGCGGACGGUCWCACUGGAACUGAGACACGGUCCAGACUCCUACGGGAGGCAGCAGUGGGGAAUAUUGCACAAUGGGCGCAAGCCUGAUGCAGCAACGCCGCGUGAGUGAAGAAGGCCUUCGGGUCGUAAAGCUCUGUCCUGUGGGACGAAAAAAAUGACGGUACCACAGGAGGARGCCCCGGCUAACUACGUGCCAGCAGCCGCGGUAAUACGUAGGGGGCAAGCGUUAUCCGGAAUCACUGGGCGUAAAGGGUGCGUAGGUGGUUCUUCAAGUCAGAAGUGAAAGGCAGUGGCUUAACCACUGUAAGCYUUUGAAACUGAGGAACUUGAGUGCAGGAGAGGUAAGUGGAAUUCCUAGUGUAGCGGUGAAAUGCGUAGAUAUUAGGAGGAACACCAGUGGCGAAGGCGACUUACUGGACUGUUACUGACACUGAGGCACGAAAGCGUGGGGAGCAAACAGGAUUAGAUACCCUGGUAGUCC
rnacentral:rRNA from 1 species